rnacentral:rRNA from 1 species
AACGAACGCUGGCGGCAGGCUUAACACAUGCAAGUCGAACGGAUCCUCCGGGAUUAGUUGCAGUCGGGUGAGUAACGCGUGGGAACGUACCCUUUGCUACCGAAUAAUUCAGGUUAACUUGAGCUAAUACCGGAUGUGCUCCACGGGGGAAAGAUUUAUCGGCAAAGGAUCGGCCCGCGUUGGUUUAGCCGGUUGGUGGGGUAAUGGCCUACCAAGGCGUCGAUCGAUAGCUGGUCUGAGAGGAUGAUCAGCCACACUGGGGCUGAGACACGGCCCAGAAUCCUAGGCGAGGGAGCAGUGGGUGAUAUUGGACAAUGGGCGCAGGCCUGAUCCAGCCAUGCCGGGUGAGUGAUGAAGGUGUUAGGAUUGUGCAGCUCUUUCACCGGUGGAGAUAAUGACGGUAGCCGGAGAAGAAGCACCGGCUAACUUCGUG